ACGUUUAAACAUAUCACCUUGCAGCCCAAGACCGGUUACUCGCUAAAGCUAAGCAGGGCUGAGCCUAGUCAGUACCUGGAUGGGAGACCACAUGGGAAAACUAGGUUGAAGUUG
rnacentral:rRNA from 1 species